GAGUUGCUGGAGGUGCAGCAUCAGGGAAGACCACAGUUUGUGAUAUGAUUAUUGAGCAACUUCAUGAUCAGCGUGUUGUACUUGUUAACCAGGUCUAGCAUUCCUGUACGAAGCACACAUUGCCCUUUGCUGAGGCAAAAUGAAUGAUUGAGCUCUUCAUUGUUACUGCUGGCUUUGUUUUUCGUCCUCUGCUCUUAACUCGCAUAUUUGAGUUGACAGUAAUUAAAUAUGUGCCCCCAUUAUCUGAAUUUACCUGGUUUGUUCUCUGUCAACACUUUUCCAAUCUUUGGUUUUUGGUGUCAUCUAGUGUAGCGAAAAGCACGUUCACCUUCUUGGUAGUAGUAUUUCUAUUUCCUUCUAGUCAUAUUACGUUCAUGCACAACUUUUAUUGUUUCUUUACAAAAUGCUUCUUAGUUGUUUGACCCAGCACCGCUCUUAGGACUAGGAUAAUUCCUUGUCAGAUUGACUUCUAGAUUGACAUUCGAAAUAGGAAUUAGAUGUAGCUCCCACUGUUUCCCUGUUGUGUAGCUGUUCAUAUCUUCUGACAUCUUGCAUGUUAUUCUGCUUUUAAAUUAGCAUCUCAUUUGGACUGAGCAGAAUUGAAAUUCUCUGCCAUUAUUUGGACUUUUUUAUGCUUUUGGGUUCUUUUGAAGUUAAUAAUGUUUCUCUUUAGCCAUACACAACUCAUUGUGGAUUGGCAGGAUUCCUUUUAUUACAAUUUGACUCCAGAAGAACUUACAAGAGUGCAAGAAUACAAUUUUGACCAUCCUGGUAAGUUUUGUCUUGCGUAAUUCACGAAUGUUUGGGAUAAUUCCUCAGUUGAGAAAGGAAGUAAUCUACUCUUGCUGGAAGAAGUAAAAUGUGAUUAGCCUGAUAGAAUUUCACCAUUCAGAACUCAUGAAUUAGUCUACCAUGUACAGUGAUUGUCUGACAUGUCUCAAUGUUCUGUUCCAAAAAGAAGAUUUGAAGAGAGUACUUUCGAGAUGUCAGGCAUUUACACUUUCGAAGUUGUUCUUUCCAACUUCCUGUCUAUCAUAGUCUGAUACCGUGAUAUCUCUAAGAGCAUUUUAUUUUAUGCGAAAUGAGUAUUGAUGUAAAGUUCUUUAGACGAGUUCUUAGAAUAUUCUGUGGUAGUGUAUUGAAGUCAUAUGAAGAAUAGCUCUUAUUAAAUUAAUGAGGGUACAAAAAUUUCCGUAUUAAAUUAGUUUAAACUGAAUUUCUGCUUCAUUUUUUAUUGUUAUCUUUAUGUGACUCUGAUGCUAGUUUUAAUAUGAUUUCUUCAGAUGCAUUUGACACUGAGCAAUUACUUUGUGCUAUGGAGAAAUUGAAGCAUGGCCAAGCAGUAGAUAUUCCCAAAUAUGACUUCAAGAGUUACAAAAAUGACAUUUUCCCUCGUAGAAGGGUAAUUUGAUUUGCUUUUAUAACAUGUCUUUUCCUUUAACUUUGAACUUAUAACAUGUGACAAGGCCAUGGAAGAUGAGCUGCAUUUGGCACUGGAAAAAUUGGAAUAUUGUUAGUGGCUUAAUCAUGGAUGAAUGCAUCCAUAGGUUUCAACCUCAUAUGUGUAUUAUCCUGUGUCUCUUAUUCACUCAAUGAAUCUUAAUAUUCAUUCUUUUUUCUUUGUGAAAAGAUAAUCAACUUGAUCCUAAAGCGCAGAUGAAUCCUUCUUAAUACUUCUUUCUCAUUUCCUUAAUAGUUGCAUUACAAAUUAUCUUUUUGUGGUGGAAUGUUUGCAGGUAAAUCCUUCAGAUGUUAUCAUUUUGGAGGGCAUUCUCAUUUUUCAUGAUCCGCGCGUUCGAGAUUUGAUGAGCAUGAAGAUAUUUGUAGAUACAGGUUAACUCCCUUCAUUUCUGUUAAUGUUUGUUGUUUUUUAAAUAAAUAUCUACCUUGGUAACUUAAUUACACAUCAUGCCUUUCUGAAAUUGGAAACUUUGGUUUUUUUUUUAUUUUUUAUCUUAUUCCAUAAUAACAAUUGACAUGAGAUAGCUUCACAGUAUCGGUGUUGAAAUGUGAUACUUAUUGUAGAAAUUUAAGAUUUGCUUGUUGUAAGAAGAUAGUGUGUUUCCUUGGAUCUGGUUGCCUUCCACUUAUUAUUACUAUUACUUAUUGUUAUUUUUGUGGCUAUUUCAUGGAAAAUGUAAUUUUGAAAGAUGGUUUAUACAUAAGGUCUAUUUUUGUUCCUUCUGUUAUUUCUUGGUUCAUUUUAGUUUCACUACCUAAAACUUUCAGUGCAGAUGCUGAUGUACGCUUGGCCAGAAGAAUCAGACGUGAUACAGCUGAGAAGGGUAGAGAUAUUGGGAUGGUAUUAGACCAGGUUAGCGGAAUCUCAUCGCUUGUUCAAAAAAGUUCAGAACAACUCACACUGUUUUCCACCCCUUUCUUUGAUAAAUUGCCUCUUUGUCACUUAUGAAUUCAGAGAAGCCCCAGUUCGUGUAUGAUUUCUGUUAAUAAGCUAUCUGAAGUGUUGCUUGUAAACUAGCAAUUUACCAUGACACAUUGCUGAAUGAACUUUGGGCUGUGAACAAAUUCUUAAUCUAUAAUAUUUCAUUAGUAAAGCUAAUAGUUCGGCUGGUCAUCCAAUGUUUCAGGAUCUUAUUCCUCCCCUCUUUGAUUCUGGUGGGCUGGGAGGGGGGGGGAGUGGUUUUGAUGUUAUCUUGCUAGAUAAGCUUGUUCUGAAACUCCAUCCUAAUUGAUUUGCAAAGAAAAACUUCCAACUAGAAUUUAUCUGGUCUGUUUCCAAAUUCUUUGUACCAAAACCUUAACUAGCAUUGGGACUUGGGAUUUUUAUUGUGUUGGGCACGUGGAAGACAACGUGGGGAUUGGAAGAUAGCAGAAGACUUUGAGCUUUGAAAUGCUGCUUCUAUGGAAAAUUAGGGUAUUGUACAUAAGGGCUCAGAGAACUUUGUGCGAAUAUUGUUCAUUCAGAAAUCUUUUAUUGCACUGCCACAAAGAGGCCAAAACUAUGCCUUUUCAUUUUGUUUGAAUUUGUGCAAAAAGCAAAUUGCUAGUGUAAAGAUCUGUCCAAACCAUACAGACAAACUUUCCACACUUUUAGAUGAGUUCGAAAAGAAACUAAAUCAUAAGUCGUCCUAUGAAAGCCAAAACAUAGAGGCCUUGACUCCCUUCAACAGACAAUAUAUACGCAAAUUUCAUAAAAGAUACAUUAAAGACAAUUUUCUUCUUCUUUAAGUGAUACAUUUUGAGUAACCACUAGCUUUUAUUGUUCUUUCAGUACUCAAAGUUUGUGAAGCCAGCUUUCGAUGAUUUUAUUCUUCCAACAAAGAAGUAUGCAGAUAUUAUCAUUCCCCGAGGAGGAGACAAUCCUGUUGCCAUUGAUUUGAUUGUUCAACAUAUUCGCACAAAACUUGGUCAACAUGAUCUUUGUAAAAUAUAUCCUAAUUUGUAUGUGAUUCACUCAACAUUUCAGGUAUUGUCUCCACCUUUGCGAGCUUCAUAAACUGUCCAUGCGCCAUUUAGAUGAUUCUUCACUAGAGGAUCUUCCGUUGUUAAUUUAAGGUCAUUUAAUGCUCUUAAUAGGUUAAAUUGAGUAACCUGUUUGAUCCCAAUUAUUGUUUCUUUUCCAGAUUCGUGGUAUGCAUACACUUAUACGUGAUUCCCAAACAACAAAACAUGAUUUUGUCUUCUAUGCUGAUAGAUUAAUACGUCUGGUGGGUAAUUGCCACUGUCAGAUUGUUGUGACAGAUCUUAAGCUUUCAAUUUCCAAAGAGAACAAUUAAUUUAUUUUCCACUUACUUACCAAGUAGACUUUGCGAUAUCUAGGUUGUUGAACAUGGUCUAGGACAUCUUCCAUUUACAGAAAAGCAGGUGAUCACCCCAACUGGUAAGUCUUCUGUCUAGUUAAAAUUUAACAAGUGGCAAAUUGAAAAAUCAGGAGGAUGCAGUUAUUACAUUCUUCCAGUCUGGCUUGAAAGUGAAUCCAAGUUCCAUACUUGUUAGUUAAAUGGGUAAAUGCCAGUUUAGGUGGAACCAGUUCUGGGCCUCCUCUUGAUGAAUGAUAGUUAAUUGAUUUACUUCAUCUGCUUAGCAAAAGUAUGUUGCUGGGAAUGUUGUUAUUUUGAAGGACAAGUUGCCUAAUGCUAUCUUUAGGCUUCUUUUUCUGUAAUUCCUUUAACUUAACAAUGUCAUUAAGAAUGAGGCAGGGGAAAUUUCACGUGCAGUAGGUCUUACUUGUAAAGGAUCCUGUACCCAUGCCUGACAGUUUCCUCGUCAAGCUACAUCAGAAAUUCAUUGCAUAUUAAUUUUUACGAGGUUGGGGUAUCAUCUGGUUCCAGAGAAUCCAGAUUAUGCCUGUGUGUUUUCUAAGUCAAUUAGCACGAAUAAGAAGCUUUUCCUGCAUAAAGAUUAUUCUAGUUUUUACUAUACAAAAUGAUAGACUAAAAAUAUACUUUUUUUUUUUUUCCUUAUUUACAUGUGGACAUGCAAAGCCUAUUAUUGGCUUAAUAUUUAUACAUUCUAUGGAAUUGCAGGAUCUGUAUACACUGGUGUGGACUUUUGCAAGAGAUUAUGUGGUGUCUCUGUAAUAAGAAGGUGCUACAUCAUUCAGUCUCAAUGCUUUUAAGUGUCACAUUUGAAUGAAUAUUAUUCUUUGACCUGCUUGAAUGUGUUCUCUUCUUUACAUGCCGAAUGCAUUUUAGAUAUGCAGAAAUCUUUAUAAUUUGCUACCUAUUUCCAAUCAGGGGGAUGUGAUCUUUCCAUGUUAAUCUCCACGCUUGUUGCUGCUGCUUCUUGCCUUCAUAGCAGAAACUAAAAUUGCUAUGUAUUUCAAGCCUUUUGAUAUUUCUUGUUUGGUCUUAGUGGUGAAAGUAUGGAAAACGCCUUGCGAGCAUGCUGCAAAGGUAUCAAGAUCGGCAAGAUUCUAAUCCAUAGAGAGGGUGAUAAUGGUCAGCAGGUAGGCUGGUUUGCCCAAGCCCCAAUUCCUGAAGUGACUCUUUAUUUCUUUUUCCUUUUAAUUGAACCCUUUUCUUUUGAUAUUUUGAUUGCAGUUGAUCUACGAGAAACUUCCACAAGAUAUUUUGAAUAGGCAUGUCUUAUUGUUAGACCCCAUCCUGGGAACAGGUUAGUCUAUUUGAAGAGGAAAGCUAAAUACGAUGAACGUGAAACAAUUUUGUUCUGAGCAUGUGGGCUUUCAUUUAUCAAUGUCCUGAUUGUGAAGCCCUCUUCAGGAAAUUCGGCUGUUCAAGCUAUUUCUUUACUUCUAAGGAAGGGAGUACCCGAAUCCAACAUCAUAUUCCUUAACCUCAUUUCAGUAAGUUUAUGGGCUUUUGUAUCUAAGUUUAUGGCACAGAUAAGUGGAAGAUUAAUGUGGGAUUCCUCCGUUUUUUUUUCCCUUUAAUUCCAGGCACCAAAAGGAGUACAUGUAGUCUGUAAGCGUUUCCCUAAAAUAAAGAUUGUGACAUCUGAGAUUGAAGUUGGAUUAAAUGAAGAUUUCCGUGUUAUCCCAGGCAUGGGAGAGUUUGGUGACCGAUAUUUUGGCACAGAUGAUGAUUGAACCCCGAUCGUCAGCCACUGGAAAGAGUACUCUGCUGAAUUUAAUGAACCAGUGAUGCAGCUAUUGCUAGAUUCUGAAAAAGUUUUGACUGUUUUUCCUUUAAAAAAAAAGGCAUUUCUCAUAUGCUUUUGCUGAUUCAUAAGAAAAACAUAGGAGGAGGAUAGAAAAUCAAUCAACUGCAGGUAGCAGGAUGUAUGCGAUGCAUGUCCUACUGCGUGCAUUGUCUAUUGUUGUCCUGGCAUUUUAUAGGUGUUACAUGUGCCAGUGUUACGUCCUUAAAGGGGCAAUAUUUACAGGACACUGCAAAUUUCCUACCCUCUAUAGUUGCUGUUCGUUCAAACAUUGGCAUGCAUGGCACUGCCAAGUUUUCUGGUGGCGUUAUUUCUCAUUUCAGGUGAACUUUGAAGCGUUCUUAUAACAGUCAUCUUGUAAGUCAAAAUUGCAUGUUUUCAAUGAAAAGAAACUGCGAACUAUCCAAAGAAAGAUUAGUUCCUCCAACCUCCUUAGGGGGGGGGGGGGUGGCUGAAAGAAAGGUCGAAAGGGUUGUGAUGGUCAGAGAAAAGGAGCCCACCAAAUCUCUUGGGCGCCGGAAACUCUUCCUUGGUUUCUUGAGUUCUAGUUUUGGUUUUCCUGGGAAGGAAGGCUUGGGACCCCGGGGUAUUAAAACUCUUUUGGAGGCUCCCAAAUGAACAAAUUUGGGAUGAGGGAUCAGUUUGCACGGUUAGCUUCCCUAGACACUGAUUUAAUUUCUUGCCAAUGCCAAACAGCGCGCCAUUUGGCAAUCAGAUUGAUCACUCGUUCCACUAUCCCUACAUGAUAACUUUCGUUGGGCUAAUAUCAGGACACGUGGUGAUGACGGAGGUAUAUUCCGUUAAGGUUAUCUAUAUAGAUUGGUUCUUCUGGACGUGCACCAUUGUUUCUAAUUUGUGUUUGUUCGCUUGACCCGCUGCUGCAUUAUCCUUAACGAAAGCCAAACAAUCAUGUCGGCCUCUGUGGGAAAGUAUGCCGGUGCGCACACCCUUUCUUCCUCUCUUCAACCCCUUAUCAACUUUUAUACGUCUGCAUGCGAUCCCGUAUCCAUGUUGCAACAUUUAUUUAAUAUAUAUGAUGACAAACUCAACCUUUUAGCUUCACCUAAUAUGAAAUGGGACUUUUCCAGGGGGUGGCCUGGUUUCCCUGGCUGAUGAAACGUACUUUCCUGCGUCAAAUAGAUUUAAAUGUGUUUGGCUUCAUGCAUGCAGUCUGUAAAUCUUUUGCUGCACGUGUCAGUGAGCUUCGGUAUUGCCUGGAUGAUGGAUUCCACUCUGUUUAUAUUCGUUCUGUGUAUUCUUUACGCAGUUAUUUGUUAGACAAAUUUCUAUUGCGUGUCAUCUAUAUAUGUUAUUACUCGUGAAUGCAUCAACAGAGCAUGGAGCUUUAUUUCUGACUCGAAAAUCUUUGCUGUUGCUUGUACAGAAGAACUCAUCAAGACUGCCAACUACAUUGCCAGCCCUGGGAAGGGUAUUUUGGCAGCUGAUGAGAGCACUGGCACUAUUGGCAAGCGUUUGGCUAGCAUUAAUGUGGAGAACAUAGAGUCUAACCGUCAAGCUCUUCGUGAGCUCCUCUUCACCUCACCAGGGGCCCUGGCUUGCCUCUCCGGCGUAAUACUCUUUGAGGAAACCCUUUACCAGAAAACAUCAGACGGGAAGCCCUUCGUUGAAGUCCUUCAAGAGAACAAUGUGGUUCCCGGGAUCAAAGUCGACAAGGGAGUUGUUGAACUGGCAGGGACAAAUGGUGAGACUACCACUCAAGGGCUUGAUUCCCUUGGAGCUCGUUGCGCACAGUAUUACAGGGCAGGUGCCCGUUUUGCCAAGUGGCGCGCAGUCCUGAAAAUUGGUCCUACUGAGCCAUCGGAGCUAUCCGUCCAGCAGAAUGCACAGGGUUUGGCUCGCUAUGCCAUUAUCUGUCAAGAGAACGGACUUGUCCCAAUUGUUGAGCCAGAAAUUCUGACUGAUGGAAACCAUGACAUUAAAAAAUGUGCGGCUGUUACGGAGAUUGUUCUUGCAGCCGUUUACAAGGCCCUGAGUGACCACCAUGUUCUUCUUGAAGGAACACUCUUAAAGCCUAACAUGGUCACGCCUGGCUCUGAUAGCCCAAAGGUAAUGCCAAAGCCAUACAUAGUUUGAUUAUACCUUGGACUAGUAUGUAAAUAUAAGGUUUGUUUAGAUUGUAUUUUAUUUGCAAAUUUUUAUUUACGGCAUCAUCAACACAUUUUCAAUCUUUUUUUUUUUUAAAUCUCGGAUACAUCACAUUAAAAGAAGUACUAUAAUAUAUAUUUUUUUUAAAAAAAAAUUAUUUCAAAUAAUUUACUAUCUAAACACACUUAAUUUGGCUGCGACAGUGCUAAUGGACAUUUCUCUAGUAGGAAUAUGGCAUGGAGUUAAUUAACUUAUUAUUGUCUACUUAUGAAGCCAAUCCAAGAGUGACGUCACAUAUCCUGUACCUAGCCACACCAAAAGUGAGCUUAAUUGCUAACAGGGAAAUAAUCUAUUGAUAAAUAUAGAGCGCCUUGAGCGUGAUGACAACCAAUGCAAAUGCUUGAUCUGUUUGACAGGUGGCACCAGAAGUAAUUGCCGAGUACACCGUUACAGCACUGCGCCGAACUGUUCCAGCGGCAGUGCCAGGGAUUGUAUUUCUGUCAGGUGGACAAAGUGAGGAAGAGGCAACGCAAAACCUGAAUGGGAUGAACAAGUUGGAGGUGCUGAAGCCAUGGACACUCUCAUUCUCGUUUGGGCGUGCUCUGCAGCAAAGCACGCUCAAGAUAUGGGCUGGCAAGAAGGAGAACGUGGAGAAAGCUCAAGAUGCAUUUUUGGCAAGAUGCAAAGCUAAUUCGGAUGCUACUCUUGGGAAAUAUGCUGGUGGAAGUGCUGGUGGAUUGGCCUCAGAGAGUUUGUACGUGAAAGAGUACAAGUAUUAGGUUUUCUCCCUCUUGUGGCGUCUAGCAGAGCAAGGGGAUUGACUGCAAAAUGCCCAAGUGUAUUCAUUUGAAUGAUGUCUCCACUUUACGUCCUAGCAAAGUACAAAUCCUUGUUCACACUAUCAGAGUAUAUAUUCUGCAUAUUACUAAUGAAAUUAAUCUCGCCAACUCUACACUUGUGUUACAAUCUUCUCUGUAUGUCAGUCCUACAAAUCGUGGAUUGUAGUUUUAUUUGAAGUUGAAGAGCUAGAUUUCUUACUUGGACUGCUUUGCAUAGACAACAUAGUUUGUUGUAUGUUUAAUACUACACAAACCUAAAUUUCACGCCUUGAGAAAAUUCUUGCUCUAGCGUCAGGGUUUGUUUGGAUUGAGCAUUAUUUUUUCAAUUUUAUUUGCUUAUAUCAUCAUUACAAUUUCCAAUACACCUUUUUAUCUUCCCAAUUACCUUUUUAUCUCACAUACAUCACGUCACAAAAGGUGCUACAGUAAAAAUAUCCCAAAUAACUUACAAUCCAAACAAACCCGUGUAACAUCAACUUUUGAUAGAACACAUCCUCUAAUACGUUGAGCAGUCCUCUUGAACCAACCAUAUCCUCUACCAGAAGCAUGUGUACAUAGCGGACACAUAUGGAGGAAAAUGUUGGGCUGCAUGCUUUCUUUGGUAAGAAAAUUUGUUAUCGCACGACAUAGUAAAUUACAAUUGAUCUUCAUAGAAUGCUAACACGCUAUGAAUUUUUCCAAAAUCCAACUGUAGUGGGGCAAAUCUGCACGUGACACAUGUCAGCUCGGCAGGUUGUACGCGUCAGGUCGAUGGUGGAGACCUCACAACUCGCAGGCGCUAGCUCGGCAUGUGGAUGCCAGCUCGGCCUUACCUGUCGCUCUCUGAGAUGGGCCUAUGGGCCGCCGCCUCCGAACUUGUAGGAGCCGCCGCACGAAACCCUAAGAAGACUCCGAACCCUACGGGGAUUCUGACUCCCACAAGGAAACUACAACCCACUCUGCCCUAUAUAAACCAUGCCUAGGGACGAUGCAAGGUACGCACUCACAAGUAUUCUAAACCAUUACUUUGUGGACAAUCAUCACUGACUUGACCGUCGGAGUUAUUUCAGGGACGCCGGUCCCGCCAUUUUUCCCCCUUCACAGGACCCAUUGCUCGGCUCACCCUCUCAGGUCGGCUACCCCUGACCAGCUCGGCUCGCAACCGUUCAGCUCGGAUCCGGUUUUUGGCUGUCGCAUCAAUUGGCGCCGUCUGUGGGAACCCGAAAUUUAUCUCUUGCGAGUCAUGCCAAGAACGAGAUCGCAGAGGAAUGCCGAUGGGUCCAAGGGGAAUGGAGGAAGCGGUCCCCAUCAGUCUGCCCGGAGUCCGACCCCUGGAGGUGAGGGUGUGGGAGCCUCACGGAUCCCGCCAGAGCAAUUGGUUCAGGUGGUAGCAGGGAACCUGCCCACUUUUGAGGCCAUUGUGAAUUACCUCAAGGGGCAGACGGGAGGACAUCUGGGCCAAGGGCCAAAGAACCUGGAGGAGGGUCCAACCGAGUCCCGGACUGGGAGCCCUAACCCCCAGCUCAAGCGAGUGCGCCAGGAGCCCACGCGCGAGCACAUCGACAUCGGGGAGCCCUCUCACAAGCACUCCCGAACUGAGCAUCCGGAGCCUGUCCGGAGGCACUCUAAGGAGGAGCUCUAGCCUCGGAAAGAGCAGCUCCAGGUGCAGGACGAGCUGGACCUACUCUUGGACACAGAGGCAGACAGGUACAUCGCUUCCCCUUUCGUGCCUGAUGUUGAGAACUAUCCGUUGCCUACAAAGUUCAAGAUACCUAGCAUGAAGUCUUACGAUGCGACUACGGAUCCGGAGGACCACUUGUUUGCCUUCUUGACCCAAAUGCGUCUUCAAACUGCCGCCGAUGCGGUCAGGUGUAAGACUUUCCCAAUGUUUUUGGAGGGCAAGGCACGUCAGUGGUUCCAGGGGCUUCCCCCCAGGUCCAUCCGGUCCUUUGCCCAGCUCGCGCGGUUGUUCGCGGCCCAAUUCGUCUCGUCGCGCGCCUUCUCCAAGAGUACUGCUCAUCUGAUGACUAUUCAACAGAAGCCAGAGGAGUCCCUACGCGAAUACAUGGUGCGCUUCAACAACGAGUCCCUUCAGGUUCGAGAUCGCGACGACAAGGUGGUCAUGGCAGCCUUCAUAAACGGGCUGCGCAAGCAGAAGCUCUACACCGAGCUUGUGGAGAAACCUCCCAAAUCAGUUUAGGAAAUGCUAGACCGAGCUCAUGAGAAGGCCAACGCGGAGGAGGCCAACCGCCUAAAAAGUGUGCAGGAAAGGCUGAGAGAUGACAAACGUAGGAAGGGCGCCGAUCAGGUGGAUGCACGGACUGGGCUGGCAAGGAAGACCUAUGACCGUCCCCCCAGGAACCGCCCCCUGGGCGGAGACAAACCUUGGACUACUCUCACUGCGCCCCGAACUCGGGUCCUCGCGGUGAUGGAGCAGGAGGGGCUGUCCCGACCUCCUCGACCCCUGGGUGGGGACAAGAGCCGACGUGACCAGGGUCUGUACUGUGCGUAUCACCGAGAUGUGGGACAUGACACGGAAGACUGUCGUCACCUGAAGAAAGACAUUGAAAGGUUAAUAAAACGGGGGUACCUCGGUCAGUUCAUAAGGGAGGAACGAUCUGACCAACAGCGGGGGAGGCCCAGGUAGGAGCGACAGGGCCACACCCGGGAUCGACCUCAGGGGCCCCGCGGCCGAACUCCCGAGCAGGAAGUUCAAAACCUGGCCGGGGUAAUUAACACUAUAGCUGGAGGACCUGUAGGAGGGGAUAGUCACACAGCUCGGCGGCACAAUCGCCCUCCUCCUUUGGGGGAGAGUUCAAACAAGCGAUUGAAGAUGUAUAAGGAAAUCAUUUACGGACCUGAGGAUGCAGUUCCUUUGGCCUCCAAUAAUCAUGAAGUCAUUGUGAUAGAAGUCGUCACUUGUAACUACAAGGUGAAAAAAGUAUACAUAGACAAUGGAAGUGCUAUAGAUGUGCUGUAUUACAAGACUUUCAAGGAGUUGCAGCUGGAGGAUAGGCAGCUCAUCCCAGUGCGAACUCCUCUGAUCGGGUUUGCAGGCCCUCCCGUGAGGCCGGAGGGAAUAAUAACCCUCAUGGUCACAGUGGGGGUCUCCCCAAGGUGCCGGACCGUUCCAGUAAACUUUGCGGUGGUGAAAGAACCCUCAUCAUACAACAUGAUCCUGGGACGGCCUACCCUGAAUGCCCUCCGAGCUGUUUGUUCCACUUUGCACCUCAAUAUGAAGUUCCCCACUCCGGAUGGGGUGGCAGAGGUGCUCGGAGAUCCGAAAGUAGCCAGGGCCUGCUAUAUUGCCACCCUUAAAGGCAAGGAGAAAUUGGUGAUCCAAACUACUUGUUUAGAAUCUUGGGAGCCCCUGAGGAAGGGGGAAAGGUUGGAGACAGAUGAAGGGCUGGCCGAGUUGCCUGUCCGCCUUGACCAGCCUGAGCGCACGGUCAAGGUCGGCACCUGCCUGGGCGAUUCAAUUCGGCAUUCCUUGCAAACUCUCAUAGAAGAAUACGCAGAGAUCUUUGCAUGGAGUGCGGAUGACAUGCCAGGGGUCCCGACCGAUCUGGCCGUUCACAGGCUGCAUGUGGACCCUAGCGUCCGACCUGUGAAGCAGAAGAAGAGGAGCUUUGCUCCUGAGCGAAAGGAGGUCGUCCGUGACGAGGUGAGUAAGCUGCUGGAGGCUAAGAUCGUUAAGGAGGUCUACUACCCGACCUGGCUGGCCAACCCGGUGCUGGUCAAGAAGGAGGAGAAGGCUUGGAGGAUGUGUGUGGAUUUCACUGACUUAAACAAGGCCUGCCCAAAGGACUGCUACCCACUUCCACGGAUUGAUCAGCUUGUGGAUUCAACAGCGGGUUAUGAGAUUUUCUGUUUCUUGGACGCUUUCAAGGGGUAUCAUCAGAUAGCCCUGGACGAGGAAGAUCAGGAGAAGACCUCGUUUAUCACUGAGGACGGCACGUAUUGUUAUGUUACCAUGUCAUUCAUGCUAAAGAAUGCAGGCGCGACCUAUCAAAGGUUGGUAAACAAGUUGUUCAAAAAUCAGAUCGGCCGGAACCUGGAAGUUUAUGUUGAUGAUAUGUUAGUCAAAAGUCGAACCCCGGAACAGUUCUUCUCUGACCUGAGGGAAAUUUUUGAGGUUCUCCGGAGCUCACGAAUGCGGCUAAACCCAAAGAAAUGCACCUUUGGGGUCAGGUCGGGAAAAUUCCUCGGCUAUAUGAUUUCCAAAGAAAGGGUGAGGGCUAACCCGGACAAAAUCAAGGCUAUUAUGGACAUGGCACCACCUCGGAAUAUUAAGGAGGUGCAACGGUUGACUGGGAGGAUGGUGGCCUUGAACAGGUUCCUGUCUAAAUCGGCAGUUUGGGGGUCGCCUUUCUUCAAGGCCCUGAAGGGAGGUCGGCAGUUUGAAUGGAGUUCGGAGUGCCAGAAAGCGUUUGAUGAGCUAAAAGAGCACCUCGCUCGGUUACCAGCCCUGACCUCGCCCGAGUUGGGAGAAACCCUGUUCAUCUACUUAGCUGCGGGAGAGGAGGCCAUUAGCGCGGUACUGAUUCGAGAGGAAAACAAAGUCCAGAAACCCGUAUACUAUGUCAGCCGCUUCCUGCAGGGAGUCGAGGCAAGGUAUUCGGCUGUAGAACGGUAUGUUUUGGCAUUAGUACAUGCAGCUCGGAAACUCAGGACGUACUUCCAAGCUCAUCUUGUGGUGGUUAUGACGGACCAGCCCCUGAAUCAGAUCUUCUUCAAGCCCGAGUCCUCGGGUCGAAUGGUGAAAUGGGCGAUGAAAUUAUCAGAGUACGAUCUGGGAUAUCAGCCUAGGACAGCCAUCAAGGCCCAAGCAUUGGCGGACUUCAUAGCAGAUGGCGUUUCCUUUGGACCGCCCGAGGCAGACGUCAAUCAGGCUAAAGCCUUACAGACCCCGAAAACUACCAAAACCACACAGACCCAAGAAGCAGCAGAGGUCGCAAAGGCCGGAGACGCUGCCGAGGUCACCCAGGUCGUCCAGGUAGCAGAGGUCGGAUUGCUUGAUGAGGCAGCUAUGUCCCAGCAGGCCGAAAAAGCCCUCAGGAACAGACAGGUCGGAGAAGCAGCUGAGGCCGAACAGACUCGCGAGACUGUCAAGGUCGGGGAGACUAAGGAGGCAGCUGAGGUCGGACAGGCCAUAGACGCUGUCGAGGCCACGUAUCCUGGAAAAGUCGUUAAGACUGAACUGGCCAGAGAGACUGCCCAAGAGGUUACCGAAGCUGUAAGGCGAGCUGAUCCCGUCUGGACGUUAUACGUGGAUGGCGCGUCGAGCAAAGAAGGAUGUGGUGCUGGACUCCUCCUAAUCAGCCCCCCUGGAGAAGAGCUACCCUAUGCACUAAGGUUUGAUUUCAGAGCCUCUAAUAAUGAAUCUGAGUAUGAGGCUCUAAUUGCAGGAAUGGAGAUGGCCAGGAAACUAGGUGCCAGGUCGUUGAAAAUUUUUAGCGACUCGCAGCUGAUAGUGAACCAGGUAGGGGGAAGCUACGAGGUCAAAGAGGGGGCGCUGAAAAAAUACGUGGCCAAAACACACAAACUGAAGGGCCUGUUCGAGCAGUUCGCGCUGGAGCAAAUCCCGCGGAGCCAGAACAAGAGAGCUGAUGCCUUGUCCAAACUGGCCUCCACUUCGGCUGGCAUCCUAGGUCGGGAGAUAGUGGUGGAGAUCGUCAGAAGUCGUGUGUAUGACCAGGUCAGUACUGCGGUCAUCCAAGUGGUGAGCUCUUGGAUGGAUCCUAUUGUUCGAUACUUGGCACAGGGGGAGCUCCCCCCGAGCAGGAUAGAGGCCCGCAAAAUUCUCCUUAAGUCACAGAAAUACACGCUCGCGCAGGGAGUCCUAUAUAGGAAAUCCUACUUGCAGCCCUGGCUGAAGUGUAUAACCCCAGAGGAUGGGAGCUAUGUCUUGCGUGAACUGCAUGAGGGCAUCUGUGGUAAUUACGUGGGUACCAGGGUAUUGGCCAAGAAGGGAAUGCUGGCCGGAUACUAUUGGCCCACCAUCUUCAGAGACUCGGCCGAGCUGGUUGCUCGGUGUAAGUCUUGCCAGCUACACGCUCCAAUUCAUCACACUCCCACUCAGGAAAUGAUCCCGCUUAACAGUCCGUGGCCGUUCUUUCAGUGGGGAAUUGACCUGCUAUGACCAUUUCCACGAGCUCCAGGGGGAUAUGAAUAUUUGGUGGUAGCUAUUGAUUACUUCACCAAAUGGGUGGAGGCUGAGCCUCUCGGUACGAUCAGCAGCAGGUCGAUCCAGAAGUUCCUGUGGAAAGGUAUAGUUUGCCGAUUUGGCAUACCUAGGGCUCUCGUCUCGGAUAAUGGCCGACAGUUCGCGGAUCGUUCGCUCCAAGAAUGGUGCACUGAGUUUGGUAUCCAGCAGCACUUCACUUCAGUAGGACACCCCCAGACCAAUGGACAGGUUGAGAAUGUUAACAGAACUAUCCUGCACGGUUUGAAGACAAGGAUAGAAUCUGCUCGGACGGGUUGAAUAGACGAGCUGCCCACUAUACUAUGGGCUUACCGGACUACGCCUCGGACGGCUACUCAGGAAACUCCAUUUGCUCUGGCCUAUGGGAUGGAAGCAGUGAUCCCUGCGGAAAUUGGGUUGCCAUCAUCCAGGGUACAGCACUUCGUGGCCCAGAGCAACGAGGAAGGAAUGCGGCUCGACCUGGACCUGCUCGAGCAUAGAAGGGAAGAAGCAGCUAUAAGAAUGGCUAAGUAUAAAGGCCAGGUCGCGCGUUACUACAAUGCCAGGGUAAGGCACCUCUAUUUCAAGCCAGGAGACCUGGUGCUACGCAAAAAUUUCGUAAGUCGAGCUGUGGGCACAGGCAAGUUAGACCCGAAUUGGGAAGGCCCUUAUGUCGUAAAGGAAGCUGACCGAGCAGGUUAUUGCAAGCUAGCUCGUCUGGAGGGAGGCGAAGUCCCACGCACUUGGCACAACUCAAAUUUAAGGCUUUUCCUUUAAUAUCCUGACCGAGCUGCUAGUAGCCAGCUGGACAGGUCUGCUUUUGUUUUAUUAGUUCGGCAUUUGGAAUUAUAAAUGUAGUCAAACUUUGGAAUAAAAAGAAAUUUUUACAAGUGUUAGGAAAGAAAAAGGCCACAUAUAUUCCAUAUCACAAAGCAUGUACAGGUGAGGGGCCAUACAAAAGCGAGCUGGCCAGUUCGGUUCCUAGCCUAGCCUAAACCCUACAAGUCUGGGUUAUGCCCUAUUUGCUCAACUCUCCCCUUGCUGUUCUUGCUCUGGCUCUGGGGAGAGUGCGGGAAGAGUCGGGUCGGCAAUCAAGGCAGUCAGGUCGCGGCCAUUGGAAUAGCCCGUGACAAGCCUGUCAAUUUGGUUGGUGGAUUGGGGGUUGAAGUCAGGCCAUUUGCUCAGGUCAAAACCCGGCAACUUCAGGGACUCCACAUCCAUCAAGGCUUUCGUGUAGCCGAGUUGCAGGACAGGGCCGUUUAGGAGGGCCAGGUCGUUCAUGAAGCCCUCAGACUUCUUGAACUCUUUGACGCCUAGCUGGCGUCCUUCUUCCCUUGCCGCCUUCACCAGCUCGGCAGAUUUUUUCUGCUCUGUCUCCAGAGUCGCAGCCAGUUCGGCCGCUUUCUUCUUUUCCAAUUCGCAGGAGGAGUUGGCAUCUGCAAGUUGCUUCUUCAGGGUCUCCAGCUCGGUCUCUGCAGCCUCGAGCUGGCUCGACAACUUCUCCUUGGCAGCGUCAACCUGGGACAGGUUGACCCCCAUGUUCUCAUACCGCUGGGCCAGCUCGGCCCCCGCAACAUUGAGCUGCAUGGCAGUCAUAGGAUAAGUAGGCAGCAAAACUCGGAAGGAUGCCAAAGAAAGUGCUAGUUAAGGAGCUACCUGGGUGGUGCUGAGGUAGAAGUGCUCUAGCAGCUCGGCAUUGAAGGCAAGUUGGAUGAAAUGGUGAUCGCAGGGGAGUACCGCGCCCUUGACGAGCUCCUUUGCCACUUCAGGGAACUGAGCUCGGUCGUUCACCGACAACCUCCACUUCGGGCAGAAAUGGAGGGGGUAUGGGUGUGAGCCCAGUUCGGUAGGGGGUUUCAUGGGAAUCACAUUCCUCAUGCGCCACAUAGCGGGGGGAGAUUGUGACGAGGCCUGCUGCUCGGCGGAGCUCACCCCGUAAUGAGAGGUAACAGCAGUAGAGGGCUCCUCCUGGGACUGGGGGGAAGCCGCCUCUGUCCUAGCCUUCUUAGCCGUGGACUUCUUUCUUUUCUUCUUUGGUCCCUCCCCCAGUGAAGAUUGAGCGGCAGUCUGGGGAGUGGACACAGGUGGAGGUAGAGGAACCGCGCUGCUCGGCGCAGUGGAAGGCGCAGGAGUUGGCGUACUCGCGCUACCAGCUCCGCCAAUGUUCAGCAGCUGGGAAAACCUCUUCACUGCAAGGCAAAAAUACUUAGUCAGUUAGGAUGAUGUGGACUCAUGGAAGGGAGGAGGUCGAGAAAAUUACAAGCUAUCAGCUCCUCGGGGGUGAUAGGUCGGAGAUCGGGGGCAGGGUCGUUCACCUCUGCUCGGAUUAGCCCCGCCGACCAGAGCUGGGCAUUGUUAAAUUCCUUCACCUUUAGUUGAGCUUCCGAGCUAACCAAGCGGUCUAGCUCGGCCUCGGGCAAAGGAGAAGGGAUUGGAUCGGUUACCUGGGUAUCCUCCCUCCAAGUUAGGGGAGGAAACCCAGUAUUCUUCACAAAAAAGAACUGGGCUUUCCAGCCCUUGAUGGAAGAAGGCAUAUGAGUGAACAGCUCGCGGGUAGGGAGUUCCCCUCCGCUCCUACUAGCGAAGUAGAACCAACCAUGAACUGGGCCGCUUACCUUCAUCUGAAAGAAGGACCUAAAUAGGUUCAGAGAAUAAGGGAUCUCAAGAGCUCGGCACAAAAUAAAGAAGCCGAGAAUGGACCGAAUGGCGUUGGGAACGACCUGGGUGAUUCGAAUGCCCCAGAAGGUUAGAAUGUCAUAAAAAAAUUGGGGAAUGGGAAGGCGAAGACCAGCCACGAGCUGAUCCCUGUAGAUAACCACAAACCCAGGGGGAGAUUGGCAAGCGUACUCCCCUGGCCGGGCUACCCUAGCCUCGAACUGGGGAAGAAUGUCAUAUCUCCCCACCAGCUCGUCUACGUCCCCCUGAUCGAGAAGGGGAGGAAUAAUUUCGACUUCUCCAAAGUCGAUGUCUGGUCCCCUAGGUGGUCCUACCCUAGAGCGAGCUGGAACUACCUCUAGGGGAAUCCCUGGGACAGCAGCUCCAGCCCCGGGCUGAGCAGAUGGGCCAGGUUGGUCCAUGGCUAUAGCAAGAGGUGAGGCUGGGGGAGGAAGGUAUUCAGAAUCAGACGAGCUGGAAGAAGAAGAGCUGGAAGAAGGUAUUUCUAUGAGUACAGGUCGGGUAAUCCUACGCCUAGGUGCUGAGCUGGUAAGGUCUGAGUGUGUGGAGGAAGACGACAUAAAAGGAAAAGGAGGACUUACUGGUGGAUAAAGGAGAAGAGCUGGGAUGUGCUUAGAAGGUAAUCCUACUCUCGGACGACCUCACGGAAUGCGGAGCGAGCUGAAGAAGACUGGAGGAGAAGAGAAAAUGAGAAGGAAGGCUUGAAAGUGACGUUUGGUGGGGCCUAUUUAUAGGCUCCCUGGGCGGGAAGCCGAAGAGUCCUGAGGAAGAAAUUCGAAUUUAUUGCAAGGGGGCGGUUAUCUUGGAAGACGCUUGAGCUGACAAACCUCCAUCAAGAAGGACGUGACCCUUGACGUGACGGUUACAACGACGGACGUGGCAGUUUUUCGGAGAAGGUACGUGAUCGUGGGAUCGUGGGUCCCGCACGAAGCCGACGUGACGCUUCGAAAUUUGGUCCAGACCCACGUGACUCAUCAGUGACUCUAGACUCAAGGGGGCUAGUGUAGUGGGGCAAAUCUGCACGUGACACAUGUCAGCUCGGCAGGUUGUACGCGUCAGGUCGAUGGUGGAGACCUCACAACUCGCAGGCGCUAGCUCGGCAUGUGGAUGCCAGCUCGGCCUUACCUGUCGCUCCCUGAGAUGGGCCUAUGGGCCGCCGCCUCCGAACUUGUAGGAGCCGCCGCACGAAACCCUAAGAAGACUCCGAACCCUACGGGAAUUCUGACUCCCACAAGGAAACUACAACCCACUCUGCCCUAUAUAAACCAUGCCUAGGGACGAUGCAAGGUACGCACUCACAAGUAUUCUAAACCAUUACUUUGUGGACAAUCAUCACUGACUUGACCGUCGGAGUUAUUUCAGAGACGCCGGUCCCGCCAUUUUUCCCCCUUCACAGGACCCAUUGCUCGGCUCACCCUCUCAGGUCGGCUACCCCUGACCAGCUCGGCUCGCGACCGUUCAGCUCGGAUCCGAUUUUUGGCUGUCGCAUCACCAACCUUUUUAUCAACUGAAGAAGGGGAAAAAUUAGAAAUCGGCAAUGGAUAGUUUCUACAUGUCAUGAAGGCUUCUUGGCUUUGGGGGGGUUGGACUUGCGCAAAGGAUUUUGCGCUCUGGUAAAUGGCGCAACUAAAGACGCAAUCCGGAUGACCACGCUUUCCGGUCAGGAAAUUGAUGGCCCGUUCAUUGAGGGAUCAAGGGUCCUCAUCACUCAAUUGGGCCAGCCCUUUUCACGCAUCGUGAUCAAGGCCUGCCCAAAACUACCUCUUCUCCCCAUACUGCACAAGGAGGGGGACCGGCAUCUGAUUUUGAUUAAUGUAUCGAUCUAAGUUGAAUCAUAUUUUAUUCCCAGAAUAAAAGUUCCGUAUCAAUAAUUGACCCUUAGACUUGAGAAGCCGAAAUUGCAUUCAGCAGCAGCUGCAGUUUCAAUUUUUGUGGUCAAUGGUGAUUCUGGUUUCUGGUAGAGACAUUUGUGUUGGCGAUUUUGUCUUUUUGUCGUACCAUUGAAUCUUCUUCUUUUGUAUUUCCAUCUGCUGGGACAUCACAUGAGAGCAAGAACAACAAUUCAAGCCCUCAGCUCGUCUCCUCCCUUUCCUCUCUUCAACCCCAAAGCUUCCCUUCAAAAUCUUAGUUUGCGAAUUCCAAUCCCUGUCCCUCUUUUCUGUUCCCAAAUCGAAAAACCAAUGUCAAUUUCCCCUUCUUUUCGCUUAUUCUCCACUAAAAACCCACAUUUGCUCGCGCGCCGCCCACGCUAUUCACCAGACUCUGAAACCCCCAAGAUUGCAUCUUUGCACUCAGAACCCGCAAAUCUUUUCUUCUCUAGGCCUAUUACAAUUCAAAGAAUACCCACAAAGCCAAUAUUUUCAACACCAUCAGCUUCCCCAGCGGCCACUCUCCAACCCAUUGAAGAGCUGCCCCCGAAGCUCCAAGAAAUCAUCAAACUUUUCCAGGCCGUUGAAGAACCAAAGGCCAAGUAUGAGCAGCUCUUGUUUUAUGGAAGAAAUUUAAGGCCUUUGGAUGGUCGGUUUAAGACCAGUGAGAACAAAGUACAAGGCUGCGUUUCGCAGGUAUGGGUCAGAGCAUACCUUGAUUCGGAUAAAAAUGUAGUCUUUGAGGCUGAUUCUGAUUCAGUUCUUACCAAAGGCUUAGCUGCUUUGCUUGUUCAAGGCCUUUCAGGCCGUCCUGUGGAGGAGAUUUUGAGAGUUACACCUGAUUUUGCGGUGCUUCUUGGGUUGCAGCAGAGUCUUACACCUUCUAGGAAUAAUGGGUUUUUGAAUAUGUUGAAAUUAAUGCAGAAGAAGGCCUUGCAAUUGUAUUUGGAAGCUCAAAAGGCGGAAGAUUCGGUUGGUCAGUUAUCUGAAAGCCCGGAUGAAAGCUCGAUGUCACAUUCGGGAUUAAACAAUGACGGUGGAAAUGGGGAUGUAAAGAGUGGAGUGAGUUCUGAAGAAGAUGUUACUGAUUUGAAAUUGGAUUCUGGUAAUGGUGGUGCAUUGGGGAGUAGGGGGAUGAGGAUCAAGGCGAAGUUAGUUAGUGAGCUGAAGCCUGUAGAAUUGGAAGUUGAAGAUAUAUCUUAUCAGCAUGCUGGGCAUGCUGGGGUUAAGGGCAGUGAUGGGGAGACACAUUUUAACGUCAAGGUGGUGUCGGAGGAGUUUGAAGGUAAAAGUUUGGUUAAAAGGCACAGAUUGAUAUAUGGUUUGUUGCAAGAUGAGUUGCAAAGUGGACUGCACGCUUUGUCUAUUGUAGCAAAGACACCAUCUGAAGUUAGUAGUAGCUAAACCAUUGGGGUUGAAUGAGGUUUUGUACUUUUUUUUUCACUUCUCCAUUCCUGUUUGUUUUUCAUUGCUUUAAGCUAUGCUGAUGCUUUAGACUGUUGAUACCAU
rnacentral:lncRNA from 1 species